GAUUAGUGGCGAACGGGUGAGUAAUACGUGAGUGACCUACCUUUGACUCUGGGAUAAGCCUGGGAAACUGGGUCUAAUACCGGAUACGACCAAUCUCCGCAUGGGGUGUUGGUGGAAAGCGUUAUGGAGUGGUUUUAGAUGGGCUCACGGCCUAUCAGCUUGUUGGUGAGGUAAUGGCUUACCAAGGCGACGACGGGUAGCCGGCCUGAGAGGGUGACCGGCCACACUGGGACUGAGACACGGCCCAGACUCCUACGGGAGGCAGCAGUGGGGAAUAUUGCACAAUGGGCGCAAGCCUGAUGCAGCGACGCCGCGUGAGGGAUGACGGCCUUCGGGUUGUAAACCUCUGUUAGCAUCGAAGAAGCGAAAGUGACGGUAGGUGCAGAGAAAGCGCCGGCUAACUACGUGCCAGCAGCCGCGGUAAUACGUAGGGCGCGAGCGUUGUCCGGAAUUAUUGGGCGUAAAGAGCUUGUAGGCGGUUGGUCGCGUCUGCUGUGAAAGGCUGGGGCUUAACCCUGGUUUUGCAGUGGGUACGGGCUAACUAGAGUGCAGUAGGGGAGACUGGAAUUCCUGGUGUAGCGGUGGAAUGCGCAGAUAUCAGGAGGACACCGAUGGCGAAGGCAGGUCUCUGGGCUGUAACUGACGCUGAGAAGCGAAAGCAUGGGGAGCGAACAGGAUUAGAUACCCUGGUAGUCCAUGCCGUAAACGUUGGGCACUAGGUGUGGGGGACAUUCCACGUUUUCCGCGCCGUAGCUAACGCAUUAAGUGCC
rnacentral:rRNA from 1 species